GAGUCUGAGGGUACCGGGAUCUAUAUAUACAUUCAGUAUUAGUACCUAGAAACGUAGUUCCCAUUUUUAGAUGGAAAGUACCUAUGAAUGGAAGCUCUAAUGGUUUCUUCUCUCAUCUCAUGUUCUAUUCUGUGCAGUUCCUGGAGCGGGCACUCCCCGCCUGGGAGACUCCUACCUUGCAGGAAGGAGUCACAUAUUCCUGAAUUGGACCCCACUCAGAUGCAGAAGGCUAAGAUUUUGGAUGAGAAAAGUGGACCGGCCCCAUACAAUGGUACUUUGUGAGAGAGCUCGCUGCAUGGGCCGGCCGGGCCCCCUGUCCUCCGCCUGCCAACGGGAGGAGACGCGAGGCGCUGGGAGCUCCAGAGUGGGCGAGGACCUCGGGCAGACCCGGCGUUGCUGUUGGACAUCAUUCAGAAGUCCCCGCUCAGCGGGGGCAGCCCAAAGAGCAAAACAAACAGAGCGAGGAGUAGUGGAAAAUGCUGAGUCCUGGAGCUGGCCGGAACAGCGUUCGCCUUUCCACGCCCGGAGCCAGCCGCUCUGCCCACCUGCAGCUGCAAUAGCAAGCAGGGCCGCAGCAGGCAGGGAGGCCUUGGCACCAGAGCCCGUCCAGGGCUGAGGGCGGGGAACAGACACUCCUCUCUCUUCAGACAGGCCCUCCAGAGUCCUCGCCCUGAAGGCUGAGGUCUUUUUCUUGUUCCAGGAGUCCAGUGAAAAAAUAGUUCUCAAAAAAGGGAGAAAAAGACUUUCUUGAACUGUAGUUUCAGAUUUACUAAUAGUGUCCAUUUACAUAGCACUUACGAAAUGUCAAGCCCCAACACAGAUGAAUUGGCAAUCACCGUGUCAGUCCUGCGAGGCUGGUACUGUUAUCCCCAUUUCACAGAUGAAAAAAGCCAGGCACAGAGAAGUCAAAUAACUUACCCAAGAUCACAGUGCUCAACGAUGGCAGGGCCAGGAUUUAAAACCUGGUUUUAGAUUUAAAACCUAGUUUACAGUCUUAAAGGUGACUGCCUUUUCUCUUCAGCUUAUCAAAUUUCCUCUCUAGGAAUACCAGAUGUGAGACACAAAGAGAGGAGACCCAAGAUGGAGAGUAAAGGGAAUGAAUGAGAGAGAGAAGAAUCACCAAGGACUAGAAUAAUACAAAAGAUUUCUUUAAAAAGCAGGAGGCCAUCAGCCCAGGAGAAGGAGUGUGAGACCGAGGUACAGAAGUGGCAGGAAAUGCUGAACUGGGGCUGGAAGGUGUGACAGUACGAGUCAGACAGACACCUGCUCUGUCCCGUGUCCGAAACAGGAUUCCAGAAAUAAUGUGAAGAGGUUGCUUGGCAAAGGAGGCUCACACAGCUCUGGGGGAAACUGAGGAUCAGUAGCUGGAGCAGAAAAAUAGAGAAAUGAACACCUUCUUUCUUUCCAAUUACAGCCGCCGUGGAGGCAGAUGGCCAGGGCUCCUGGGAGAGACAGAUCCUGAUCAGAAGAGAGGGCCUAUGGCUGUCGUGCAGGGAGGUCUGUCACAUUCCUCUAACCCCAGAGGAACGAGGAGAAGGAAGAAAGGAAUGAACAAAUGAACAAAGGAAGGAAUGAAAAGAGAGAGACAGAAGGAGGGAAGAAGGGCUGAAAGGAAGAGGCUAUUUCUUUCUUGUGUUUGGAAGAACGAGCUGCCAACCCUCGUUAAAUGCAUAGGAUUUAGAAUUACUACACCUAAAUUCUAAUUCUGCCUCUGUCACCGGUUAGUAAUGUGAUCUCACGGAAAUCAUUGAAACUCCCUUAACCUGAAACCCUAUAUCUAUACAAUGAGGACACUGGACUACACCUCUAAGGUUCUCUCUGGAUCCGAAAUCCACACUCUGAUGAUACUGAGACCAAGGACGGGGACUUUGAUCAUUGCCUUUGCAUGCCACCCAAGGUCUACGCCCUUGCACAGUGCCUGCCACCCAUCCACACCGACCAGUCACCCAGGGCUGGUGAUUCUAUGUUCUCCACACCUCUCUGAUGUGCCAUUGCUGCUUCCCUUGUACGCAUCUCUUCUGAGCAUGACAGUUUUCCAACUGGUCUCCCUGUUUCUACCCUUGUCUGGCUCUGAUUCACGUUCUACUCCACAGUCAGAAUGAUUUUCCUAAGUACAGGUCGGAUCAUGUGACUUAGCCUGCUGGAAGAGCCUCAGGACUCCACGUCACUCUUCAUACAGCCCACAGGCCCCUGGAUCAUCUCCACCCGUUCUUGCUGUCCUCUCCUCCCACCCACACACCUUUGCACACUGUGCUCUGGAUCCAUAAAACUACUUCCAGUUUCUCCAUCAGUGUACACACUUUCUCACCUCUCAGCCCUUGGACAUGCAUUCCCCACCACCGGAACCUCUUUCCCUCUCCACUUAACUACCUGCUACUCACCUGCAGGCCACACAUUCCUUCAGGUUAGGUUCCUCCUAUGUGUCAAAUCGUAAUGUUACUUCACUGGAUGGUAUUACCCUUUUAUUUGUCUAUAAAUUGUAAUUUACUAGAAUCGGAGUGAAGGAAAAAGUGUUUACCUUCUUCCUUAUGGUUUCCCUGCUACUGAACCCAAUGCCAACCACACAGCAUAUGCUCAAUGGAUGUUUGUUUUCUGAAUAAAUUUGCUUGGUGGCUUCAC